rnacentral:sRNA from 1 species
ACUGGGUGUGGUGGCGCACACCUGUAAUCCCAGUGGCUCAGGAGGCUGAGGCAGGAGGAUCACGAGUUCAAAGCCAGCCUCAG